rnacentral:rRNA from 1 species
UACGUAGGCGGUUAUAUAAGUCGAAGUUGAAAUGGUGCAGCUCAACUGUAGCACUGGCUUUGAUACUGUUUAACUUGAGUAUGGUAGAGGUAGGCGGAAUUUAUGAUGUAGCGGUGAAAUGCAUAGAUAUCAUAAAGAACUCCAAUUGCGAAGGCAGCUUACUGGACCAUAACUGACGCUGAUGUACGAAAGCGUGGGUAGCGAACAGGAUUAGAUACCCUGGUAGUCC